AAUUUGGUUCCGUUUGUAUGUUAAGAUACUGCUACUACUAUUUUCUCUUUCCAAACUCUGAAUUUGAUAGGGAAGGAUAAUUUUUUUUUUCAGGUAACUAAUUUAUCAAGUAGCAAUAGGAGACAUGGAUUGUUUGUCUUUCGCAGCUUCUUUACAGGAAGGUUUUCAAUAUGUAAAAGCGUUUUUUGUGGGUCAGGUGAAGACUAUUACUGCAAGAAAUGAGAAGGAAGCAAGUGAAGCGGAACUUGAGGCUACCAAGAUGUAAGUUGAGGCUGCUGAAGAUAUCAAGAACAGGCAUAAUAAAUCUGCAUAACUUUUCGCUUUUCACUAGUUAAUUACUACCAAAUUUCUGUCUUUUUUUUUUUUUUCCUUUUCUUUCUUUCUACUGGAACUGAUGCAUACGGGCAUGUGGGCCGGGAAACAAAAAUCUCUUUUAGUAGCUCCAAUAUACCUUGUUCGUUACACAUGUGUGAAUUAAUCCAACUUAACUUCUUUUAUACAA